rnacentral:pre_miRNA from 1 species
CAACUACUCCCUCUAUCCCAAAUUUCUUGUCUUAGAUUUGUCUAGAUACGGAUGUAUCUAAUACUAAAAUGUGACUUGAUACAUCCGUAUCUAGACAAAUCCAAGACAAGAAUUUUGGGACAGAGGGAGUACUUU